rnacentral:rRNA from 1 species
GCCCUACGGGGGGCAGCAGUGAGGAAUAUUGGUCAAUGGGCGGAAGCCUGAACCAGCCAAGUCGCGUGAGGGAAUAAGGCCCUACGGGUCGUAAACCUCUUUUGCCGGGGAGCAAGGGCGGGGACGUGUCCCGGCUCGGAGAGUACCCGGAGAAAAAGCAUCGGCUAACUCCGUGCCAGCAGCCGCGGUAAUACGGAGGAUGCGAGCGUUAUCCGGAUUUAUUGGGUUUAAAGGGUGCGUAGGCGGGCUUUUAAGUCAGCGGUAAAAAUUCGGGGCUCAACCCCGGCCGGCCGUUGAAACUGGGG